rnacentral:rRNA from 1 species
CCUAGGGAGGCAGAAGUGGGGAAGAGUGGGCAAGGGGCGCAAGCCGGACCCAGCAACGCCGCGUGAAGGAAGAAGGCCCUCGGGUUGUAAACGUCUUUUAUGCGGGACGAAACAAAUGACGGUACCGAAGGAAUAAGCCACGGCUAACUACGGGCCAGCAGCCGCGGUAAUACGGAGGUGGCAAGCGUUAUCCGGAUUGAUUGGGUUUAAAGGGUGCGUAGGCGGAAGGCCAAGUCAGCGGUAAAAUCGCGGGGCUCAACCUCGCUCCGCCGUUGAAACUGGCGUUCUUGAGUGGGCGAGAAGUAUGCGGAAUGCGUGGUGUAGCUGUGACAUGCAUAGAUAUCACGCAGCACUCCGAUUUCGCAGGCAGCAUACCGGCGCCCACCUGACGCUGAAGCACGAUAGCGUGGGUAUCGAAC